AUUAAUUAUAAAUUAUUUAAUUAACAAAUAAGAAAACGGUGUUCAAUAAAUAAGCUAGGAUUUUUUUUGCAAAUGAAAGAAUCAUAAAAUUUAGUUAAUAACAGUUUGAAAAGUUUUUUGAUUUGUCAUAAUUUUAAAAACAAGCCUGUGAUUGAUAAUUAUUAGAGCGUCUGGAGCUUAUGUCUUCAGUCCCUCAGAAGCUGGAAAACAGGAUUUUGGUGUACGUGUACCACAGACUGACCAAAUUGCGCAUAUGCUCUAACUAGAUAGGCUAAGGAGGCCAAUAGUGUCCCAGGUUUUUUUACUGCCAUCUAACGGCCACUUAUUGCAUUUAACACCCAUUCAGGGGUUAAGUUUUACAACU